CCCAAAAGGGUGUAAAAAGGGUGUAUUUUAAUUUUAACACCCUUGCUUACACCCUUUCACACCCUUUUGUCAUUAUUUUACAAUACUACACCCUAUAUAUAGGGUGCGUACAUCUUUUGCACCCUCCGAUUGGCACCAAGGGUGUUUCUUUAUGCUCAAGAAGGGUGUAAGUGACGCACAAAUAUGUAUGCGUACACACAUGUGUGCGCAUGCGUCUUCGACAAAGGCUAUAUAUAACAUGCCCAGAGCAUUGGUGAUAAUAAAGGCGCUUUAUUCGGUAAUACAGUGUUCAAGGCAAUUCAUGUUAAGUGUAUCUAUCGUAAAGUAUUAAAAUCCAUAUGUACUUAUUGCAAUCGGCUAGCUUUCAUUUUCAAUUUAAAGAGCAUGCGGUAAUUACAAAAUUCAAGUCAGCCUGUACGCAAAAUGCACCCAGUAAGUGCGAACUUGGUGAGCGAAUCAAGUUUUUAAGAUAUUCCUUCGAAAGUGCUUGCAUGACGUUCUCCUUUCUAUUUUUCGAGAAAAGCUUUUUGGUGCAUAUAUGUGGAACACCAGUGCAUUAUGCGACACUAUUCAGGUGUAUAUUUUGCGAGGCUGGUGCCGCUGACAGCAUUCCUGUCAAAUGGCUAAACUUCACAUAUUGUCUCGCUUCAAUAUUGAAAUAACAAUAUGACCUAUCAAAAUAUUAAUGAAAAAGUAUUUUUAUGGAUAUCAGUCCUCGUAAAAUAUACGUUCUAACAUUGAUAAAAAGUUAUGACACAACUCAUUAUUUACCCGUUCAUUACAUGCACCAACCACCCCAAAUUAGCACUACACUAGAUAGAUUGCAGUGCACUGCAUUGCAACACAGGGGCACUGGGGUUUGCCAUCCCCAGUAGGAAAUCGGACGCUUGUCUGGUUGACUUGCUUGCCUUUCCUCUCCUUGCUUUUUCUAUCUCUUUGAACAAACUGCACUACCUUGUCGAAGAGGAAGCGUUAUCCUCUUUCAGAGUUAAAUAAUUUGUCGAGUAAUAAUUUUACAGUUCCAGCAACUACAGCAUAAACUGGAAAACGAAACCGAAUCUGAUUUGUUCUCCGUGCUCACAGAGCGCGGCACCAGGUGGCACCGUGCGCUGCGCCUCCGGUCUCGAAGGAUCUAACAAGCGGUUGAUGCAGCUGCGAAUGUGUAGUCAGUCGGCUUUUAUCGUUUUAUGUUGUGCAGAUUGUUAGUUCACCGUAAAUAUGUCUUGAUUUGUACUCAAGAGUGGAGCAAGGCCUCAAGGAACAGAGAUUGACGCAACGGGAGCGAAGAACAGAAGCGAUGGAUGGUUACGCUGGUUGACUCUCGGCAUGUUCAAAAUGGCGAAGUUCCGAAUUUGUCGCUGUGUGACGUGCGCGUGUGUGGUCGUGGUGUGCCGUCAUAGCGCGGGGAUAUUUGUGCUGAAUGUGUUUCACUUCGUCUACAAAACUCUGCAUGCAAACUCUGCACGCAAGAAGUCGUGUGUUCAGGUGCACGUAUGUGCAUGCUUGGAUACGGAAAGCCUGCCCUCAACGGUAGCGCUAAGCUCAGCCGUGUUGGCUCAGCGCUACCCCCUCAACGGAUGUUCGUCUACGUGCUCGUAACUUGCUCACGAGACCUCCUUGCUGUUGCAACUCUGAGGACAAUUGCUUCAAAUGGGAAGGAACAACCAGCAGUGCCAGCGCUAUUUGUACAUGAGGACACCUCCUUGCUGUUGCAACUCUGAGGACAAUUGCUUCAAAUGGGAAGGAACAACCAGCAGUGCCAGCGCUAUUUGUAGAUGAGGACACCUCCUUGCUGUUGCAACUCUGAGGACAAUUGCUUCAAAUGGGAAGGAACAACCAGCACUGCCAGCGCUAUUUGUACAUGAGGACACCUCCUUGCUGUUGCAACUCUGAGGACAAUUGCUUCAAAUGGGAAGGAACAACCAGCAGUGCCAGCGCUAUUUGUACAUGAGGACGACGAGAGGGUUCCACUCACCCCCUGUGUGGUGUAUUCUGGCCACAACCUGGAACAGGCAGAGUUUCUCCACCUCUGUGUCGACAAGGAGCGGCUGUUCAUGGUCAAAAAUGCGGAGGAAGGGGUCAUCGCAAUCAUGAGUGCAUUUUUUGUAUUGAACAUAGUAUAUGGGCCUAAAUACUUCAGCACCAGUGCAGUACUGGAACGAUUGUUUUUUGGUUUGAAUGUAAUAAUGCCAAGUGGUUGUUACAAAGUUUGUGAACAGAGUUGUGCAGGCAAUGCGACACCGAGGUUCAUGUACGUUACCAUACGAAUGCUAGCCUGACAAUUUUGUGCAAUAGCUUGAGCAAUAGUUUUGUGCAAUUUUUAAUGUAUCAUUUUCUUUCUUUUUGAUCACGAUAAUAGCAUGAUCCAGUAACUUCUUCCGCUGCUUGUGCCAACCACCUAUAGACUGCACCUUUUUUUGUUCUGAUGACUUGACAGACAAUGUAAUAGUGCCCAAGUGUAGGUCAGCAAAAAACAAACGUGGUGUACUGUAGUCUGCACGUACUUAUCGAAAACGUUGCUGGGUGUUGCUAUGUGCUGAAAAGAAGAUUACAAUACGUCUAGUUCUAAUGAGGUCUGCCUUAACAUUAAUGUGUGUGAAACAAUUGUCAGCAGUUUUAUACAAAGAUUAUAGCUUGCUUGCUCUUCCUUAACAUAGUUUGUUUAUGAAACCUAUUUGCCAGCCAGGGAACAAUGUCCCAGCUUAUAAGUACUGCAUGAUACAACUGUUAACGUUUGUAUUCCCUUAUAGGGCACAUCAACACUGGCAGCCAGUGCUCAACUUUUCGUAACAUGCUGCUUGGUCAAUAUUUUAUAUUUUGCGCAUGUGUUGCAUUGUGUAACCUUUCCAAUACAAGUGAAAGUUUUUGUGGUUUGACUGUCCUUUUAUGAACUAUGUUUUAUGUUUAUUAUGUAUAACUUAGCAGCUGAGGCCUGACAUACUAGUCAAAACGCAACAGAGUAUCCAAUUUUUAUAAGGUUUUACAAGGUUUUUACAAGUUUUGGAUUGUAAAACAAUGUUGCGUGGAACAAUUAUCAGGCUGAAGUACUGUUACAUUGUCAUGAAUACCGGCAGCCUUUGCUUAACCUUUAUGAAUCUGCUGGCAGGCUGUAGUAUCUUUAGCUCGUUUAUUUUUUGUACAUGUGUUGCCAAUGCCUCAUCCGAGUGAAAGCUAGUCGCUUAUAUACUACAUAUACUGGUGUUUCUACAAAGAAUUUACGUAAUAUUUAAAAAUAGCCGUUCUGAAGUACAAGGACGGCUCGUUAGAAGACAGCAAUGCUGUCAGUGGUGCCGACCAUGGGUGGAUGGCUGAUAUCUGGUAAUUAGUUGCUAAUUAACAAUCUAAUAUAUCUUACUUUUAGUUUCAGCAGACUCAUUGUAACCAGGAAAUUAAAGCAAGCUCUCUGCACAAGACAUGUGAACUUUUGGAUCUGGAAAAAUACAAUUACUCGCAGAACUGUGGCGUGAUGAAUUUAGGCUGUCUGAGCACGCGAAACUGAAACUGAGAUGCUGCUGAAACUCAAGGCAACAUUUUGCUUACGUCGCCCAGAAGCGGGCUACCAGCACACUGCACGAAUCCCUAUUGCUGCCCACUGUUGGGUGAUGUGAGCAGAACGCCCCCUCGAAGGGCGCGUCUGUGCUCACUGUAGCCUCGGGUACAGUUUCGCGUGCUGUGAUAGCCAAAGUUCAUCGUGCUGCAGUUGUGUGGGUAAUUGCAUUUUUUCCAGAUUCUAAAGUCUAUAUAAUUUCCCGAUUACGAUGAGUCCACUCAAACUAAAAAUAAAAUGUAUUUUAUUUUUGUUAUUUAGCAACUAAUUACCAUGUAUCACCCAUAACCUCGUGGUCGACACUGCUGGUGGCAUGUCUCCAAAGGAACCGUUGUUUUAUUUCAGAACGGCUGUUUUUACAUAUCAGCAAUGUGUUUGUAGAAACACCCUUACAGAGUUGUGUGAUAUUACUGUUGAACAAAUCUUAUUGUGUACUCAGGUGAAAUAUGCACAGAUGAAGAGCAGAUAUAUACGUGGUGUCACCUCUGUUAAUGUACUAUAAUUUUUUUGUGUGAAGGCCACCACACAGUUUUUUUUUGCAAAUGGCUGCUCUGCUUUUACUCACUCGUACUCUCUCACUUGUACUCAGUAUACACGUAUAUUAUACCACAGAUAUACUGUGAUCCAUGUGAAUUACUGUGAUCAGUUGCAAACUAUAUAUUGUUAACUGCAGUGAUACUUUACAAAUAAUGUUUGUAUUUUAUUGCUCCUUGUAUGAAAUACAAUAAAGUUCAU